UGAUCUAUCGAUAUUAUGUUACUUUCUGUACAUCACUAUUAGUGCACAGCAGUUUGUCGUCGUACCUCCGUGGAAAAUCAGUUGCAAAUCGCAUUAUUCAUUCGAAUAUAAAAGCCAACGUUCUAUGCCAUUAUUGUGUUGAAGAUCCUUAUAAGAUUGCGUUAUAAACAAAAAGACUUUUUGCAGCAGCUGCGCAAGCACACAACAACAACAACUGACCAAAAAGCAAUUCGCGUGGUUUAGCGCUGCCAGCGGCCAUCGCAAAAAAAAAA